AUAGCGUAUAUUAAAGUUGUUGCGGUUAAAAAGCUCGUAGUUGAAUCUGUGUCCCACGCUGCCGGUUCGCCGCUCGCGGUGUUUAACUGGCAUGAUUGUGGGACGUCCUACCGGUGGGCUUAGCCUCUCGGGGCGGCCCAACUAAUAUCCCAUCGCGGUGCUCUUCACUGAGUGUCGAGGUGGGCCGGUACGUUUACUUUGAACAAAUUAGAGUGCUUAAAGCAGGCUAUUUUCGCCUGAAUACUGUGUGCAUGGAAUAAUGGAAUAGGACCUCGGUUCUAUUUUGUUGGUUUUCGGAACCCCGAGGUAAUGAUUAAUAGGGACAGAUGGGGGCAUUCGUAUUGCGACGUUAGAGGUGAAAUUCUUGGAUCGUCGCAAGACGGACAGAAGCGAAAGCAUUUGCCAAAAAUGUUUUCUUUAAUCAAGAACGAAAGUUAGAGGUUCGAAGGCGAUCAGAUACCGCCCUAGUUCUAACCAUAAACGAUGCCAGCUAGCGAUCCGCCGAAGUUCCUCCGAUGACUCGGCGGGCAGCUUCCGGGAAACCAAAGCUUUUGGGUUCCGGGGGAAGUAUGGUUGCAAAGCUGAAACUUAAAGGAAUUGACGGAAGGGCACCACCAGGAGUGGAGCCUGCGGCUUAAUUUGACUCAACACGGGAAACCUCACCAGGCCCGGACACCGGAAGGAUUGACAGAUUGAGAGCUCUUUCUUGAUUCGGUGGGUGGUGGUGCAUGGCCGUUCUUAGUUGGUGGAGCGAUUUGUCUGGUUAAUUCCGAUAACGAACGAGACUCUAGCCUGCUAAAUAGGCGUACUUUCCGGUAUCUCGAAGGCCCCCGGCUUCGGUCGGGUGGUUUUUACUACCGGCGUACAAAUAAAUCUUCUUAGAGGG
rnacentral:rRNA from 1 species